rnacentral:rRNA from 1 species
UACGUAGGUGGCAAGCGUUGUCCGGAAUUAUUGGGCGUAAAGCGCGCGCAGGCGGCCCUUUAAGUCCAUCUUAAAAGCGUGGGGCUCAACCCCAUGAUGGGAUGGAAACUGGAGAGCUGGAGUAUCGGAGAGGAAAGCGGAAUUCCUAGUGUAGCGGUGAAAUGCGUAGAGAUUAGGAAGAACACCGGUGGCGAAGGCGGCUUUCUGGACGACAACUGACGCUGAGGCGCGAAAGCGUGGGGAGCAAACAGG